ACACCGAUGGUGAAGCGGUUAUCAUGCUUGCCUUCCAUCGCUAUUUCGUUGUUUGAAGCAAGCGGCAGGGGUUCGACUCCCCUUCGGUGUA
rnacentral:tRNA from 1 species